GAUGAACGCUGGCGGCGUGCCUAACACAUGCAAGUCGAACGAAGCGUCUUAAAGGAAGUUUUCGGAUGGAAUUUGGGAUGACUGAGUGGCGGACGGGUGAGUAACGCGUGGAUAACCUGCCUCAUACAGGGGGAUAACAGCUAGAAAUGGCUGCUAAUACCGCAUAAGCGCACAGUGCCGCAUGGCAGUGUGUGAAAAACUCCGGUGGUAUGAGAUGGAUCCGCGUCUGAUUAGCCAGUUGGUGGGGUAACGGCCCACCAAAGCGACGAUCAGUAGCCGGGUUGAGAGACCGACCGGCCAGAUUGGGACUGAGACACGGCCCAG
rnacentral:rRNA from 1 species